UUGAAAUCUGGCGCCUUCGGAUGUGAGAGAAUUUGAAGAUUGUAACCUUGGGGUUGGCUCUUGUCAAAGUUUCUUGGAACAGGACGUCACAGAGGGUGAGAAUCCCGUGCGAUGAGAUGCCCAAUUCUAUGUAAGGUGCUUUCGACUCUCUCGAGUUGUUUGGGAAUGCAGCUCUAAGUGGGUGGUAAAUUCCAUCUAAAGCUAAAUAUUGGCGAGAGACCGAUAGCGAACAAGUACAGUGAUGGAAAGAUGAAAAGAACUUUGAAAAGAGAGUGAAAAAGUACGUGAAAUUGUUGAAAGGGAAGGGUUUGAGAUCAGACUCGAUAUUUUGUGAGCCUUGCCUUCGUGGCGGGGUGACCCGCAGCUUAUCGGGCCAGCAUCGGUUUGGGCGGUAGGAUAAUGGCGUAGGAAUGUGACUUUACUUCGGUGAAGUGUUAUAGCCUGCGUUGAUGCUGCCUGCCUAGACCGAGGACUGCGAUUUUAUCAAGGAUGCUGGCAUAAUGAUCCCAAACCGCCCGUCUUGAACCACGGAACC
rnacentral:rRNA from 1 species